AAUUGCAGGCAUCAAUGAGAACGCCAUUUUAGAGCGAGUCAUUCUGAGCCACAGAAGUCUCCAAGGAAUGCCUCAGCAACUUGCAGAAGUGUAUUACAUCAUGGAAGCCCAGCAGCUCAAUGGUUAUGGCUUAGAGUGUUUUCCUGCUAAAGAUCAUGCUGAUAAUCUAUUAUCAUUGGGAUAUUGUUCAUAGGCAUUUAUAUAUGGUACCUUAACAACCAACCAUCGAUUUAUUUUUCGUAAGUCCUUAUAAUUAAAGCACAUUUGUUUUGUAUACUUUAUACAUGUAAUUUAUGUUUAUUUUCAUUUUAUCUCAAGAGUCCUACUUUUGUUGGGUAUAAUGAUGCCUGUAACACUAAAUGAAUACUGAGUUGGUUAAAACACAAACAUCUUUAUUGACGGUGAUAGGAGAACUCAACUUAACUUUGAUUCACAAACUGGGAGUUUACUUAUUAGGUGUUGCCAAAACAUAGUGAGUAAUACUAAUGUUCCGAAUGUCACACGAUAUCUCCCCUUUU